rnacentral:tRNA from 1 species
AAUAGUUUAAUUAAAAAUGUUGGGUUGUGGUCUCAAAGAUGAGUUCUUUUAAGUAUUU